rnacentral:rRNA from 1 species
UACGUAGGGUGCAAGCGUUGUCCGGAAUUAUUGGGCGUAAAGGCGCUCUAGAGCGGUCUGUCACGUCGGCUGUGAAAACCCGAGGCUCAACCUCGGGCCUGCAGUCGAUACGGGCAAACUAGAGUACUGCAGGGGAGACUGGAAUUCCCGGUGUAGUGGUGAAAUGCGUAGAUAUCGGGAGGAACACCAGUGGCGAAGGCGGGUCUCUGGACAGUUCCUGACACUGAGACACGAAGGCCAGGGGAGCAAACGGG